rnacentral:lncRNA from 1 species
GCCACUUAUCUCAUCCUGGAAAGAUGGGAAUGAUUUUCAAAAAAAAUAUUCCUCAAUUAGUGAUUUUGUGCAUCCAACGCUGCCUCGUACUAGGCCGGAAUGCUAUAUCUCGUUUACUGCGAGUAUAGCAUUCCUCUAGCCUGAACACGGAUGUCGCGCCUGCCCAUUAGCAUAGGUCGUUCGCUCGCUUCGUUAGCUCAGAUCACUCGCCUUGCUCUGUGGACAUACUGCCUGGUCUGUUUCUGUUUUUUUUUUCGGUUCUCUAUUGUUUCUUCAUUGGGUUUCUUUGAUUUCUAUUUUUACUAGUUUUCUUUAUUUAUUUCAUGGUUUUUACUGCUUUUUAUUUGCACUUAUUUCUUCAUUAUUUUUAUUCUUCUUUCCUUUUU